GAUGAACGCUGGCGGCGUGCCUAAUACAUGCAAGUCGAGCGAACGGACGAGACGCUUGCUUUUCUGAUGUUAGCGGCGGACGGGUGAGUAACACGUGGAUAACCUCCCUAUAAGACUGGGAUCACUUCGGGACACCGGCGCUUAUACCGGAUAAUAUUCUGCACCGCAUGGUUCAAAAGUGAAAGACGGUCUUUCUGUCACUUAUCGAUGGAUCUGCGCUGCAUUAGCUAGUUGUUAAGGUAACGGCUUAUCAAGGCAACGAUGCAUAGCAGAAGUGCGAGGGUGGUCGGCCGCACUGGAACGGAAACACGGUCCAGACUCCUACGGGAGGGAGCAGUAGGGUAUGGGCCGCAAUAGGCGAAAGCCUUGCGGAGCAAGGCCGCGUGAGUGGUGAAAAUCUUCGGAUCGUAAAGCUCUGUUAUUAGGGGAGAACAUAUGUGGAAGUAACUGUGCACAGCUUGACGGUACCUAAUCAGAAAGCCACGGCUAACUACGUG
rnacentral:rRNA from 1 species